AGCAGAAAAUGAAAUGAAGAAGAGAGUGGUUUUGUUUCAAAGGUACAGCACAGCCUAAGGACGUUUUAAACAAAGUGAGUUUGUAUUCCAUAGAAGAGGUUCUGGCGCUGGAAAUUGAGGCGAG